GACGAACGCUGGCGGCGUGCCUAAUACAUGCAAGUAGAACGCUGAAGGAGGAGCUUGCUUCUCUGGAUGAGUUGCGAACGGGUGAGUAACGCGUAGGUAACCUGCCUGGUAGCGGGGGAUAACUAUUGGAAACGAUAGCUAAUACCGCAUAAUAGUAGAUGUUGCAUGACAUUUGCUUAAAAGUUGCAAUUGCAUCACUACCAGAUGGACCUGCGUUGUAUUAGCUAGUUGGUGGGGUAACGGCCCACCAAGGCGACGAUACAUAGCCGACCUGAGAGGGUGAUCGGCCACACUGGGACUGAGACACGGCCCAGACUCCUACGGGAGGCAGCAGUAGGGAAUCUUCGGCAAUGGACGGAAGUCUGACCGAGCAACGCCGCGUGAGUGAAGAAGGUUUUCGGAUCGUAAAGCUCUGUUGUAAGAGAAGAACGAGUGUGAGAGUGGAAAGUUCACACUGUGACGGUAUCUUACCAGAAAGGGGCGGCUAACUACGUG
rnacentral:rRNA from 1 species